rnacentral:rRNA from 1 species
CCUACGGGGGGCUGCAGUGGGGAAUAUUGGACAAUGGGCGAAAGCCUGAUCCAGCCAUGCCGCGUGUGUGAAGAAGGCCUUCGGGUUGUAAAGCACUUUCAGUGGGGAAGAAAGCCUUGGGGCUAAUACCCUCGAGGAAGGACAUCACCCACAGAAGAAGCACCGGCUAACUCCGUGCCAGCAGCCGCGGUAAUACGGAGGGUGCGAGCGUUAAUCGGAAUUACUGGGCGUAAAGCGCGCGUAGGCGGUCUGAUAAGCCGGUUGUGAAAGCCCCGGGCUCAACCUGGGAACGGCAUCCGGAACUGUCAGGCUAGAGUGUAGGAGAGGAAGGUAGAAUUCCCGGUGUAGCGGUGAAAUGCGUAGAGAUCGGGAGGAAUACCAGUGGCGAAGGCGGCCUUCUGGACUGACACUGACGCUGAGGUGCGAAAGCGUGGGUAGCAAACAGGAUUAGAUACCCUGGUAGUC